rnacentral:rRNA from 1 species
UACGGAGGGUGCAAGCGUUAUCCGGAUUUACUGGGUUUAAAGGGUGUGUAGGCGGGCUUUUAAGUCAGUGGUGAAAUCUCCGGGCUCAACCUGGAAACUGCCAUUGAUACUAUUAGUCUUGAAUUUUGUUGAGGUAGGCGGAAUAAGUCAUGUAGCGGUGAAAUGCAUAGAUAUGACUUAGAACACCAAUUGCGAAGGCAGCUUGCUAAACAAAUAUUGACGCUGAGGCACGAAAGCGUGGGGAU